UACGGGGGGAGCGAGCGUUGUUCGGAAUUACUGGGCGUAAAGGGCGCGUAGGCGGUCAGGUAAGUGAGAUGUGAAAUCCUCCGGCUCACCCGGAGACAUGCAUCUCAUACUGCUUGACUAGAGUGCGGGAGAGGAAUCGGGAAUUCCAGGUGUAGCGGUGAAAUGCGUAGAUAUCUGGAGGAACACCGGUGGCGAAGGCGCGAUUCUGGCCCGUUACUGACGCUGAGGCGCGAAAGCCAGGGGAGCAAAC
rnacentral:rRNA from 1 species